rnacentral:misc_RNA from 1 species
UUGAUCUUAUUAUUUCUUUUUGAAAAAAAAAGGAAUAAAAUACAACCCUGUGUAAGACACUGAACGCAGCCAAGAUCAUAUGUGUCGGUUUAUCGAAUCAUCGGAAACUGAAUGAAAACCUAACUUGAAGAUCAAUACGAUUUCGGAAAAAAUUUUCUCUUGCUUUUUCCGAAUCAAACCGCUGAGCAGUGAAGACGGCUAGGAGCAUUAAAUAAUAGUUUUAUAUAAAAUUGCAAAACCGUCUGAAAGAAAAAAAAGUAAGUGCUUAAAAGAAGUUUUAUUGCUGCAUCUUUGGCGUCAUACACUCAGUGCCAGUUUUCGAAGUAUAUUCUCGACAAAAAAAAAGGGGAAAAAAGUCUUUUGGGGGUCCAACAGUUCACCAUAAUAGCGAUAUUGGAUUUUGAUGAAGCAUGGCGUUUACGUACGAGAAUAAUCACAUGUUUAGAAGACCACAUUCGACUCCUUAGUGAUUGCGAAUUCACCUUUUAACUUGAAUCGUUAACAUGAAAGAAAAUAAAAAGAAUAAGCUAACUUAAUUCGUUAAAAUAAUAAGCAUUAGUAUACUUACUCUUACAUUCAAAGUAAAAAAACUCUUUCAUACUUACUUUAAACUUAAACUAAAUGUUAUUUAGUGAAUAAGUCACAUUUUAUUCAGAAUCAGAAUCAUCACUUUACUUAUUUUAAUACUUACGUUUUUAUUUCAUAAUUAUGAAGCGGGCAUACGCUUAGGUACAUAACCGCAUCAGGUUGUAUAUAUGUAGAUACCGCAUGGAUUCAAAAAUUGUUUGUAAGCCUUAAUUUGCUCAAGUAUACAUGUGCUGUGUAUAUAUAUAUAUGCAUAUACUUAUAUAUAUAUUUAUAUCAAUAUGCACUGUCCAAUGCUAACAAAUUUUUAAAAUAUUGAAGGAGAGCAUUAUGAAAGAAUACAGUAAUCGCUAAAAGAAUAGAUUAAAUUUUGAAUGCCAGAUCACUCUUGAUCAAAAGUUAUGUAUUCAAUUUUUUUUUACAUAAUAUACAAUCCAUUAUAUCGUGAGUUUAAAACAUAGAAAUUCACAAAUAAAUACAAGAAAAAUAAUUAUUAUACUAAAAGAAAAAAAAAACAUAAAAGGAUUAGCACUCGGCAGCAGCAACAAAGCAAGGAGGCCUCUUCGCUUCGUGGGACAUGCCAAAUAUGUAGAUACGUAUAUAUAUAUGUGCCUAUGUGAGCAAAUGAAGGUCAGUGAUCCCAUCGUUGAGGUUCGCUGAAACUUAAUCUUACUCUACCUCAGGACUAUAAACAUGGCGCUUAGUUUUAAAAAUGGGGCGUUCGAGAAGAAACAGGUUUCUUGCCGCAAACCGCAAAUAUAAUAUUUAAAACAAACCGAAUCCUAAAAGUAAUACAUGCAUGCUCUGAAAUGGGAGGGGCUAUGGGUAAAAGUGGAGUAAAUUUUUUAGAUGCUCUGCCCUCACAGGGCACAUUACACGUUGUUAUGCUUGGACUUGAUUCAGCGGGGAAAACGACAGCACUGUACAGAUUGAAAUUUGAUCAAUAUUUGAAUACAGUACCUACAAUUGGAUUCAAUUGCGAAAAGGUGCAGGGUGUGCUUGGCAAAGCAAAAGGAAUACAAUUUCUUGUUUGGGACGUUGGAGGUCAAGAGAAACUUAGACCUCUUUGGCGGAGUUACACGCGAUGUACGGAUGGUAUUCUUUUUGUUGUCGAUUCAGUAGAUAUAGAACGAAUGGAGGAAGCUAAAAUGGAGCUGAUGAGAACGGCAAAAUGCCCCGAUAAUCAGGGUGUUCCUGUCUUAAUAUUGGCUAACAAACAAGAUUUGCCUGGUGCACGGAAUCCCAAAGAUUUAGAGAAACUAUUAGGCCUACGUGAACUAUUAUAUCCUGCUGUUCAUUUCCAAAACACUAGCUCAUCGUCGGCUGGUAAUAAUGUUCGCUGCAGCAGCGGUACAAGUGGCGUGAAUACAUUUGGCAAAAGUAUAACUCUAAUGUCUCUGCCCAGUAGGGUAUUCGGAGAAGCGUGUACAAAAAAUUUUAAUAUUCAACAUCCCGUAUCUUCUGCUACUGCAGCGGAAUCAAUUAAAGAAGUUAAAAAAGAUGAUGAUUAUGAAAGCCCUAAUAAUAGUAGUAAAAACUCAUCUUUUUUAUCAUCGAUUCAAAAAAAAAAUAUUACGUAUGAAUCUUCACCACCAUCAGUAGCAAUAACACCUACACCAACUACUGCUAAUACAAUGUUCCUUCAAAACAAAACAAGCAAAAUAGUUAGCUAUCCAGCAGCAGUACACCAAUACAAAGGAUGGUAUAUACAACCAGCAUGUGCAAUUACUGGAGAAGGCUUACAAGAAGGUCUGGAAGCUCUUUACGAAAUGAUAUUGAAACGGCGAAAACUAAAUAAAACUUAUAAGAAAAAGCGUUAUCGUGUAAUUUCAGGUAUUCGCACCAACAUCCAAAAUAAUAGAAAUUUAAUUAAUCCAAUUGCGGUCGCCCCUCGACAGGGAUUGUUAGGCCCUCCGAGAGGAUUUCUGACAUGAAAUAAAAGCUCAUCCUCAGCCAUCCGGAGGCAGCUUAGAAAAGCUCCCUCCGGUUAUUGAAGAAACAUCAAGGCCCGAACAGAUUGGAGGAAGAAUGUGGCCAAAAGCCAUUUCAGCAGUUAUAGAGGGUCAAUAAUAUUAUAUUAUAUAUACAUAUAUAGUAUAUCGUGAUUGACAGAUGAAUAAGUGUAGCCGAUUUCUAAAACACAUUCCAGAGCAUGUACGUUGUAUGUUGUAUCGUUGUCGAUUCAGUAGAUAUAGAACGAAUGAAGGAAGCUGAAAUGGAGCUGAUGAGAACGGCGA